rnacentral:piRNA from 1 species
AGUUAGUCCUGAUACACCAGCCC